rfam:Triticum aestivum genome assembly, contig: Triticum_aestivum_CS42_TGACv1_scaffold_249792_3DL
AGAGCAUCUGUGAUGUGCUAUAUUCAUCCUUGCACUUUGAGGUAUGCGUACCUAUGAAGAAAGCAUUGGGGAUAAUAUUCUGAGAUGCUU